rnacentral:rRNA from 1 species
UACGGGGGGGGCAAGCGUUGUUCGGAAUUACUGGGCGUAAAGGGCUCGUAGGCGGCCAACUAAGUCGGACGUGAAAUCCCUCGGCUUAACCGGGGAACUGCGUCCGAUACUGGAUGGAUUGAGGUUGGGAGAGGGAUGCGGAAUUCCAGGUGUAGCGGUGAAAUGCGUAGAUAUCUGGAGGAACACCGGUGGCGAAGGCGGCAUCCUGGACCAAUUCUGACGCUGAGUGAGCGAAAGCCAGGGGAGCAAACGGG